GCGAGCGUUAUUCGGAUUUAUUGGGCGUAAAGCAAGCGCAGGCGGAUUGAUAAGUUCUGUGUUAAAAGCAGCUGCUCAACAGUUGUUUGCACCGAAUACUGUCAGUCUAGAAUGUGGUAGGGAGUUUCGGAAUUAAAUAUGGAGCGGUGGAAUGUGUAGAUAUAUUUAAGAACACCAGAAGCGAAGGCGGAAACUCAGGCCAUUAUUGACGCUUAGGCUUGAAAGUGUGGGGAGCAAAUGGGAUUAGAUACCCCAGUAGUCCACACCGUAAACGAUGGGUAUUAGAUGUCGGGUUUUAAUUCUCGGCGUUGUAGCUUACGUGUUAAAUACCCCGCCUGGGUAGUACAUAUGCAAAUAUGAAACUCAAAGGAAUUGACGGGGACCUGAACAAGUGGUGGAACAUGUUGCUUAAUUCGAUAAUACACGAAAAACCUUACCAAGGUUUGACAUCCCCCGCAAAGCCAUGGAAACAUGGUGGAGGUUAUCGGGGUGACAGGUGGUGCAUGGUUGUCGUCAGCUCGUGUCAUGAGAUGUUUGGUUAAGUCCCGCAACGAGCGCAACCCUACUCCUUAGUUACCUUUUCUAGGGAGACUGAACAGUAAUGUAUAGGAAGGUUGGGAUCACGUCA
rnacentral:rRNA from 1 species